GAUGAACGCUGGCGGCGUGCUUAACACAUGCAAGUCGAACGAUGAAGCCCAGCUUGCUGGGUGGAUUAGUGGCGAACGGGUGAGUAACACGUGAGUAACCUGCCCUUAACUCUGGGAUAAGCCUGGGAAACUGGGUCUAAUACCGGAUAGGAGCGUCCACCGCAUGGUGGGUGUUGGAAAGAUUUAUCGGUUUUGGAUGGACUCGCGGCCUAUCAGCUUGUUGGUGAGGUAAUGGCUCACCAAGGCGACGACGGGUAGCCGGCCUGAGAGGGUGACCGGCCACACUGGGACUGAGACACGGCCCAGACUCCUACGGGAGGCAGCAGUGGGGAAUAUUGCACAAUGGGCGCAAGCCUGAUGCAGCGACGCCGCGUGAGGGAUGACGGCCUUCGGGUUGUAAACCUCUUUCAGUAGGGAAGAAGCGAAAGUGACGGUACCUGCAGAAGAAGCACCGCCUAACUACGUG
rnacentral:rRNA from 1 species